rnacentral:rRNA from 1 species
GAUGAACGCUGGCGGCGUGCCUAAUACAUGCAAGUCGAGCGAACGGACGAGAAGCUUGCUUCUCUGAUGUUAGCGGCGGACGGGUGAGUAACACGUGGAUAACCUACCUAUAAGACUGGGAUAACUUCGGGAAACCGGAGCUAAUACCGGAUAAUAUUUUGAACCGCAUGGUUCAAAAGUGAAAGGCGGUCUUGCUGUCACUUAUAGAUGGAUCCGCGCUGCAUUAGCUAGUUGGUAAGGUAACGGCUUACCAAGGCAACGAUGCAUAGCCGACCUGAGAGGGUGAUCGGCCACACUGGAACUGAGACACGGUCCAGACUCCUACGGGAGGCAGCAGAAGGGAAUCUUCCGCAAUGGGCGAAAGCCUGACGGAGCAACGCCGCGUGAGUGAUGAAGGUCUUCGGAUCGUAAAACUCUGUUAUUAGGGAAGAACAUAUGUGUAAGUAACUGUGCACAUCUUGACGGUACCUAAUCAGAAAGCCACGGCUAACUACGUG